UAAACGACUCUCGGCAACGGAUAUCUCGGCUCUUGCAUCGAUGAAGAACGUAGCGAAAUGCGAUACUUGGUGUGAAUUGCAGAAUCCCGUGAACCAUCGAGUCUUUGAACGCAAGUUGCGCCUGAAGCCAUUAUGCUGAAGGCACGUCUGCCUGGGCGUCACGC
rnacentral:rRNA from 1 species